rnacentral:lncRNA from 1 species
UAGCUAGGAGUGCAAUUUAUUGGCUGCAACUUCCAAGUUCCUUCUUCAAAUACGUCAAUGUCUUCCAAUAAGCUAAAAUCAAAUUUAAAUCAAAAUUCUUGGCAUUCCUCAUGUUCUCUUCAGCCAACCCAAAUUUACAAAAAAAAUGUAUCCAUAAAAAAUUUGAUAACAUUCCUUUAAAAACCCAUAAAAUUCAGAAAAAAUUUAUAUCACGACUUCUUUUAG